rnacentral:snRNA from 1 species
AUCCUUGUGCACGGGCAAGAUCAGUAGCAGUGAAGCCUAGCCUGAGCUCUGAUUUUUGCUGGUUGAAAACUACAACUACAUUGACGCUCCAGAUCUGCAUUUGCGGGUCAGGGAAUUUUUGGAAAUGGCUGCGAUGUCU